rnacentral:rRNA from 1 species
GGGGAAUUUUGGACAAUGGGCGCAAGCCUGAUCCAGCCAUGCCGCGUGUCUGAAGAAGGCCUUCGGGUUGUAAAGGACUUUUGUCAGGGAAGAAAAGGCUGUUGCUAAUACCAGCGGCUGAUGACGGUACCUGAAGAAUAAGCACCGGCUAACUACGUGCCAGCAGCCGCGGUAAUACGUAGGGUGCGAGCGUUAAUCGGAAUUACUGGGCGUAAAGCGGGCGCAGACGGUUACUUAAGCAGGAUGUGAAAUCCCCGGGCUCAACCCGGGAACUGCGUUCUGAACUGGGUGACUCGAGUGUGUCAGAGGGAGGUAGAAUUCCACGUGUAGCAGUGAAAUGCGUAGAGAUGUGGAGGAAUACCGAUGGCGAAGGCAGCCUCCUGGGAUAACACUGACGUUCAUGCCCGAAAGCGUGGGUAGCAAACAGGAUUAGAUACCCUGGUAGUCCACGCCCUAAACGAUGUCAAUUAGCUGUUGGGCAACCUGAUUGCUUAGUAGCGUAGCUAACGCGUGAAAUUGACCGCCUGGGGAGUACGGUCGCAAGAUUA